CUCACUCUGUAGCACUGGCUGGCAUGAAGUGGCAUGAUUUCCACUCGCUGCAACCCCCAUUUCCUGGUUUCAAGCAAUUCUCAUGCCUCAGCCUUACCAGUUGUUGAGAUUACAGGU